CAUUUGCUCAGAAUUAACACUGAGAAGAAAAGGAAAAACAAGAAAAACAACAAACUACUGAAUACUGCAAUUCCAGAACAGACACCGCUUUGACGAUCGUGUCGGGGGUUAAAAGAUUAAAUUGGUGUUUACAGAUUUGCCCUGGGUGUAAGUCCCCUCUCCCACUGGGAUGCAGUGACACAGGCUGAUGAGCAAUCUUAGACAGGACCAGCCACUGUAGACGGCGAAGCUUCUGUCUCCAUCACACCAGGACCUCUAGUCUGCUAGAGCUGAUGGGACUAAACUGGGACGGACUAAGUACAGGAUAAACCGAGUACACGCUGGAUCCGCAAUAGCUUCAGACACAG
ensembl:lncRNA